rnacentral:rRNA from 1 species
GAUGAACGCUGGCGGCGUGCCUAAUACAUGCAAGUCGAGCGAACAGACGAGGAGCUUGCUCCUCUGACGGUAGCGGCGGACGGGUGAGUAACACGUGGAUAACCUACCUAUAAGACUGGGAUAACUUCGGGAAACAGGAGCUAAUACCGGAUAAUAUAUUGAACCGCAUGGUUCAAUAGUGAAAGACGGUUUUGCUGUCACUUAUAGAUGGAUCCGCGCCGCAUUAGUUAGUUGGUAAGGUAACGGCUUAGCAAGGCAACGAUGCGGAGCCGCCCUGAGAGGGUGAUCGCACACACUGGAACUGAGACAGGGCCCAGACUCUGGGGGGAGGAAGCAGUCGGGACUCUUCCGCAAGGGGGGAAAGCCUGAUGGAGCACCACCGCGGGAUGGAUGAAGCUUUUCGGCCGGUAAAGUUCUGUUAUUGGGAAAGAAAAAAUGCUCAUUUACCCGUGCUGGUUUUGACGUUACCUAAAGAAAAAGCCCCGGCUAACUCCGUG